rnacentral:rRNA from 1 species
UAAUACGUAUGGUGCGAACGUUAUUCGGAAUUACUGGGCAUAAAGGGCGCGUAGGCGGUUUGGUAAGUCUGUAUGUGAAAUCCCUCGGCUUAACCGAGGAACUGCAUCGGAUACUGCCAGACUAGAGUGCAGGAGGGGAGAGCGGAAUUCCUGGUGGAGCGGUGAAAUGCGUAGAUAUCAGGAGGAACGCCAGUGGCGAAAGCGGCUCUCUGGCCUGCAACUGACGCUGAGGCGCGAAAGCUAGGGGGGCGAACGGGAUUAGAUACCCCGGUAGUCCUAGCCCUAAACGAUGGGUACUAGGUAGAGGAGGUUCUAUAGCUUUCUCUGCUGUAGCUAAUGUAUUAAGUACCCCGCCUGGGGAGUAUGGUCGCAAGGCUA